rnacentral:rRNA from 1 species
GCGGCAGCGCGGGGGCAACCCUGGCGGCGAGCGGCGGACGGGUGAGGAAUUCGUCGGAAUCUGCCUUUUUGUGGGGGAUAACGUAGGGAAACUUACGCUAAUACCGCAUACGACCUACGGGUGAAAGUGGGGGACCUUCGGGCCUCACGCAGAAAGAUGAGCCGACGACCGAUUAGCUAGUUGGUGGGGUAAAGGCCCACCAAGGCGACGAUCGGUAGCUGGUCUGAGAGGAUGAUCAGCCACACUGGGACUGAGACACGGCCCAGACUCCUACGGGAGGCAGCAGUGGGGAAUAUUGGACAAUGGGGGCAACCCUGAUCCAGCCAUGCCGCGUGUGUGAAGAAGGCCUUCGGGUUGUAAAGCACUUUUGUCCGGAAAGAAAUCUUCCAGUUUAAUACGCUGGGAGGAUGACGGUACCGGAAGAAUAAGCACCGGCUAACUUCGUGCCAGCAGCCGCGGUAAUACGAAGGGUGCAAGCGUUACUCGGAAUUACUGGGCGUAAAGCGUGCGUAGGCGGUUUGUUAAGUCUGAUGUGAAAUCCCCGGGCUCAACCUGGGACGUGCAUUGGAAACUGGCGAUCUAGAGUACGGUAGAGGGUGGUGGAAUUCCCGGUGUAGCAGUGGAAUGCGUAGAGAUCGGGAGGAACACUCGUGGCGAAGGCGGCCACCUGGACCAGUACUGACGCUGAGGCACGAAAGCGUGGGGAGCAAACAGGAUUAGAUACCCUGAUAGUCCACGCCCUAAACGAUGCGAACUGGA